rnacentral:rRNA from 1 species
AUUGAACGCUGGCGGCAGGCCUAACACAUGCAAGUCGAGCGAGCGGCGGACGGGUGAGUAAUGUAUGGGGACUGCCCGAUAGAGGGGGAUAACUACUGGAAACGGUAGCUAAUACCGCAUACUAUCGGAUAACCCAUAUGGGAUUAGCUAGUAGGUGAGGUAAUGGCUCACCUAGGCGCCGCUCCCUAGCUGGUCUGAGAGGAUGAUCAGCCACACGGGGACUGGGACACGGCCCAGAUUCCGACGGAGGCAGCAGUGGGGAAUAUUGCACAAUGGGGGCAAGCCUGAUGCAGCCAUGCGGCGUGUAUUAAGAAGGCCCUAGGGUUGUAAAGUACUGUCAGUCGGGAGGCGUUACCGACAGAAGAAGCACCGGCUAACUCCGUGCCAGCAGCCGCGGUAAUUC